CUUCCUCUCCUCUGUUCGUUCUUUGUUCGUCUUGUUCGUUCUCCUGCUUCUUCAUUCUUUCAUCUUUUUUCUUUUUCACUUUUCUUUUUCUUCCCGUACUUUCUCAUUUUCCUUCUUUUAAGUUAUCCGUACCGCACCCCUGAACCGCGCCGCCUCCGCCUUUCUCGACCGUCGACCGUCGACCGUGCUCCGCUGCGGCCUUUCUUGACUCGUCGACUGCGAGCUGCCCCUGCCCGCCGACAGUUUCCAUGGAUGGAAUUUGUUAAGUAUGUCUAGUGAAUGGUGGAGCUGUUCAAUUUCCCGGCUUCAAUGCAUGAGUACUGUUACGCAGUUAUGAACCUUUCAUACUUAGGAUGCAAGCUACCCAAGUCAGCUAUAUUUCAUUCCCCAGUUUGAGAAAUGACAAAGAUGACUGGUUGGCUAUUAUUGGGUGAAACCUCGAGGUUGGAUUGAAAUGGUAGAUGGAAAAUGUUCACUCAGCCGGAAACUGUUUGUUCCAUAUGGUCUUGUUGGGGAGCAUAUAUGUUUAUAAUUAAAGAUUAUUGUAGAUGUUGGUGGGUGAAUUGAUUUUAUCCCCCAACCGCUUUGCUUUUUGUUAUAAUUCAAAGUGUUUGGUAUUUGGAUACAUUUGCACUCAAUUAAAUGUUGUUGUUGAAUCGAUACAUGUUUAAGUUGAUUGUUUAAACAAACAGAUUUUACAUGCAUCAAAUAAAUUGAUUAUACUGUUGGUUGUUCUAUAAUUGUGUCAUUGUAUUGAUGUUGGUCCGGGUGUCGUCAAGAUAGGGUCCAUGCUAUAAUUCUAUUUAUGUUGUUCUAUACACCUAAAAUCGGGUCAAAUUAUACUUGUUCAAGUUGACUCUGUAGUAAUACGAUCAGCCUUCUGAGCCAGGAUCAAACUCUUCUUUUGACUAUGAUUGGGCACUGCAGUGGUAGAACCUGGUGAACCGGGCGCUCUUUGUUGUUUUUACAUUUGUGUCAUCGAGAUAGGCUCCAUCUCAACUAAA